rnacentral:rRNA from 1 species
CGGUUGAUCCUGCCGGACCUGACUGCUAUCGGAUUGAUACUAAGCCAUGCGAGUCAUUGUAGCAAUACAAGGCAGACGGCUCAGUAACGCGUAGUCAACCUAACCUAUGGACGGGAAUAACCUCGGGAAACUGAGAAUAAUGCCCGAUAGAACACUAUACCUGGAAUGGUUUGUGUUCCAAAUGAUUUAUCGCCGUAGGAUGGGACUGCGGCCUAUCAGUUUGUUGGUGAGGUAAUGGCCCACCAAGACUAUUACAGGUACGGGCUCUGAGAGGAGUAGCCCGGAGAUGGGUACUGAGACACGGACCCAGGCCCUAUGGGGCGCAGCAGGCGAGAAAACUUUGCAAUGUGCGAAAGCACGACAAGGUUAAUCCGAGUGAUUUGUGCUAAACGAAUCUUUUGUUAGUCCUAGAACCACUAACGAAUAAGGGGUGGGCAAGUUCUGGUGUCAGCCGCCGCGGUAAAACCAGCACCUCAAGUGGUCAGGAUGAUUAUUGGGCCUAAAGCAUCCGUAGCCGGCUCUGUAAGUUUUCGGUUAAAUCUGUACGCUUAACGUACAGGCUGCCGGGAAUACUGCAGAGCUAGGGAGUGGGAGAGGUAGACGGUACUCGGUAGGAAGGGGUAAAAUCC